GGUAUGAAAUGUAAAUGAUUUCCAUCACUAGAAAAAAACUGCUGUUUGGUUUAUUUUAAGUUUUCAUUUUCAGUUGAUGAUAAGUUUUCACAUAAUAAGAAAAAUGGCACGGAUUAUGCUUUUAAAUUUUAUGGAUCUAUUUAUAUACCCUGCCAUUUUUUUUAAGCUGAUUCAAUUUUUAACCAGGGAAACUUGUUUUUGCUGAGCCUGUUCCCAAGGAUAACGAAGCUGCAACUUGGAGAGACAAGUUAGAUCAGCUUUAUAAGAGUUCAUCACAAAGUUUUAGAGUUGUUGUUCACGGAUCAAAAAUUAGCUCCUCAAUUCUCUCACGCUCGCUUGAUACGCUACUUGUUUAUAUGAUAUUUGGAGCAUGUCCUUCAGAAAUGAGGUGGAAAUGAGACAAAGUUUGCUGUGUAAUAUAUUUUACAUUGAAGACAGUGCAUUAGAAGUUAAGUAGAAGUGAAAAUGAAUUAAAUUGAUAGUUUGAGAGAGAAUUCUCUAAACCGUAUCUGAAUUUCAUGCAUGUGAAUGAGUAACAACAAUCAGUUGAAAUUAGUUAAAUUCUCCUAACUGGUAAUUGUUUCACUUUAUUAUAACUAACUGACUAAAGAGUAUAAGUCUAUAACAGAGUUUAAAAGGGCUGAAAAUAGCAGCUAGAAAUUUGUCUUCAAGUGGACUCACAGGAGAGUUAGUAUAUUCCAUAUGGAAGCUCACUAUGCUACAGUAUUUGAAUUUUUCAAACAAUAGCUUAACCGGACCUUUGCCCGAAAGUCUUAUACAACCACUAGUGCUAUUGUCAUGGAUUUGGUCUCUGAUUUCUUUGGCAUGAAUUUAGUGUGCCUUUAUAGUUCUUCUUAAACAUAAUAAUUAUGAAUUGUUUGGUAAAACUUGGUGCUGACAUUUGAUAAUAGUAAAGAUAGGGGUUAUGGUUUUAGAUAGAUUAAUUGAAGACCCAGUCAUUAUUAUUAGAUUAAUUGAUAAUGUGAUACGGUGGUGACGUCAUAAGGCAAACUUGAAUGGUUAUCUCUCCUAUCAAACUGGCCAAAGCUUAGAUAAGAUAAUUGUUUUCUUGGUUCUAGUUUUUUUGCGCCAUAAAGUUUGAAAAGAAUUAGUGAAUUUCUACUUUUAAUUGAACAAUGAUUACAUUGUUAAACAUGAAUCAAAUGGAUGGUCUCUGCAACUUCUAUCAUUUGCAUGUUUAUCUUUAGCAGCAAAUAUGGAGGAACCCCUUGUUCCUUCUCUCUUGGACCUUCAGGUAUAAACUAAUAAAUGAUUAGAAUUUAGAACCCAUGUUCAUUUGGCACUUAACAGCCUAGAACUGAAACUACAAUUAUUAUGAAGGACGGUUUUGAAAUUACUACUCAAUAUUUGUUAUAUUUUCCGUGUAGUCCACCUCUCAAUUUGAUUCUUUACUAUUAACAAUCUCUGCAUUUUAAUUUUAGGUUUCAACGUGGUUUGAACAGCAAGCCUAAUGCACUCAUCAAGAAGCUCCGCAAGGCGAGGUUGGAGUUGGAAUAAAUUUGAAAAUAGGAGGAUUUUGACCAACCAUCACAGUGAACCGACUGCGUUACUACGUCAAAUACCUGAAGUCAACGUUGGUCCUUUUAAUAAACAUGGCCAACACAUAGCCCUAAAACAUUUCAGAGAUAACAAUCUCAGCUAUUGCCCUAUUUGUUAGAUCAAAUACUUAUUGGAUUUUGGUCUGAUUGCUUACUAUUCUAUCUCAAGUGAAUCUCUCUUAUAUAUGAAGCUAUAUCAUUUUAACUUAUGCACGUAUCAAGACUGUAAUUUACAUUCUAACAUCCACCAAAUACAGGACUCUGAUGAGCUAAUGAUAGAAGCUGAUAUCACGUGCACAAUACUAAAAAGCUGAUUUUGGUCUGAUUGUUUAUUCUCUUAGCCUUUGUUACACCAUGUAGGCAUCAAUACUAUCACUUCCCAACAGUCUGUCAAUCACUUCAUUUUUUGCUUCUUAAGAUGUAUCCUGUUGCUUACAAUAGAAGGAUCAAUCAAACUCUUGGUAUGUAUCUUUCUCUAACUGUAUGCAUAAGCAUAUUUAGACUAUGAAGCACAUACACAUAUACCGACACUGGACAUGACAC